rnacentral:rRNA from 1 species
AUUGAACGCUGGCGGCAGGCCUAACACAUGCAAGUCGAGCGAGCGGCGGACGGGAGAGUAAUGUCUGGGACACUGCCUGAUGGAGGGGGAUCACUACUGGAAACGGUAGCUACUACCGCAUACCAUCAGAUGUGCCCAGAUGGGAGUAGCUAGUAGGUGGGGCAAUGGCUCACCUAGGCGACGAUCCCUAGCUGGUCUGAGAGGAUGAACAGUCACACUGGAACUGAGACACGGUCCAGACUCCUACGGGAGGCAGCAGUGGGGAAUAUUGCACAAUGGGCGCAAGCCUGAUGCAGCCAUGCCGCGUGUAUGAAGAAGGCCUUCGGGUUGUAAAGCACUUUCAGCGAGGAGGCGGUACUCGCAGAAGAAGCACCGGCUAACUACGUGCCAGCAGCCGCGGUAAUUC